AAACAGAGUGGUAUAUCCACAAACUCUGCAUGAGGCUACAAGACACCAGGAGGAACUUGGAACAGAUACUUCCCUGGCCAUUCAGAGGAAGCAUGGUUCUGCCCACACCUUGGUGUUGGACUUCUUGGUCUCCAAUACUUGUAAGACAAUACAUUUCCCUUGAAUUAAACCUCCUGGUUCAUGGUGUUCUGUCAUGGCAGCCUUAGAAAGGAAUAUAGAUUCUGGUUCUGUUUUUGUUUUACAUUCUGAGAGUUUCCUGGACUUUUUCCUCCAGGUGGUCAGCUUGGACUUUAGUCUUAUUGAUUUUCUCUUUUCAUAAUCAUUUUAAAAUAUCCCUAAGGAUUUUUUUUGUUCUCUUUCCAUGAAUGUUGUUCUAGAUUCUCAAUGAGGAUAAUAAGAUUUUUUUAAAAAGUGUUUUUGUUUCUUUCUAGGUUCAGUUGCUCUGUAGCUUAUUUUGUCUGUCUGUCUCUCUCUCUUUUUAAUACUGAUUUAACAAAUAAUGGUGGUUGGUUCAUACUUUUGAAGAAAAGACACUGAUAAGCUUAUAAGAUCCUGUGUUUGGGUAGCUGAUAUGGGAUACCUUGGUGGAAAUGAUUUUUUCCCAGAUUUAGUGUUGACUGUGACUUCUGAGUGGGUGGGUGACAUAGGGCAGGCUGCCCUCCCUGGGUGGUGGGGGUGUAGGAAAGGUGUUUAGGUUUGGAAUUGGAAUGUCCCCCCCAAAGCUCAUGGGUUGAAGGCUUGGUCCCCAAUGCAACAAUGGCCAGAAAUGGGGCUUUUGGGAGGUGAUUGGAUCAGGAGGGCUCUGACCUCAUCAGAAUUAAUCCACUUGGCUGACUAAAAAUUUGAAUAAAAUGCUGCAAGGAGGUGGAAAGAGUAGGCAGGUGCGAAAUGGUUGAAGGAAGUAGGUAACUGGGGGCUUGCCUUUGGGGACAAUAUCGUGUCCCUGGCCUCUUUCUCUGUCUUUGCUUCCUGGUUGCCAUGAGCUGAGCAGCUUUCUUCUGCUGCAUUGUUCUCCCAUGAUGUUCUGCACAAAGCAAAGGAGACAGCUGACCAUGGACUAAAAUCUCUAUAACAUGAGGCAAAAUACAAUUUUCUCUUUUAAGACUUUUAUGUCAGGUAUUUUGGUCACAGCGACCAAAAGCUAACACAGAAGGCAAUUGCCAAAAUAAAAAGGGUUUACUUGGGUGGAUGUGCUUCAGUGUAUUUUACUUCUAAGCUGAAACAUCUUUCCUUUCUUCUCUCAAUGGCUAACUCGCAGGUAGAGUUAUUUAAUUUUAAUUCCCUGCUCUACCACUAAAAGCAUGCAUUGUAAAAAUUUGCAAUGUGGAAGAAAUGAAAUGCAUGUAUUUAAAUGUCACAUUGUGCCUCACACAUAUGAACAAUUAAUAUGUCAAUUAAAACACAGAUAUAUUAAAAAACUUGUGUAGUGGGAUAAUGUAUUUGGAAAAAAUACUAUUGAUGGGGUUUUAUUUUUUUCUUUGUAAUUCUUAUUGCAUUUGGCUCUUGGACUACUGAACCUCGGGCUUUUGUUGCUCUUGAGGCACCACCGAAAUUAGGAAAGUAAUUAUUCAGCUUGCCUUUCAAAUAACAUAACAUUAAAAAUCAGACCUUCCAUUUGCAAGAGCAAAGUUUCACUGAAAGAGGUUAAAGGAUUUGUGGGUUCCAAAAAGUCAAAUUGAAGAUCUGACCUUGAUUUCAUGAAGGUUAGGGGGUUAAGUGUGUGGUAAAGAAAGGAAGACUCUAGGUCAGAGUUAGGAUUCCAGGACACAGAAGGACUGUCCCCACUUGUUGUACAAGAGGUGACACACUUGUUGUACAUAUUGUUGGUUUUGAGGAUAUCUCUAAGCAACAUGCUCUAUGCUAACAGUCAGCUCAUUAGAGUGAAAAGGAUUGUACAGUGUGGUUGGGCAACUGGGGGCCUGAGACAGGAACUUCCUGGUGCCCACAUCCCCCAUUAUAUGUGGAAUUCUUACCUGUCUGAGCAAGGGAAAGAGUAGGGGGUAGAUGAGAGUUGAAAGUAAGAGGACCAGGCCGGGGUAGCCCUGAUGCAGAAUGAAGGGAAUCAACUCUAAGACCUGGAGUCAAACAAAUCACAUCUGGGGAUCAGUGAGACCAUGCAUUUGGGUCUCUCAGACUGGUCUUUAGCAAGAACUUAGAACUCAUGGAGGUGGUACACUAUGCCAGGAGAUCACAUGGAGACACAACCAUGGUGGACAUUAUAUCAAAGGGUCCAAUGAGGUCAGAAGCCUCCUGUAAAUGAGCUGCUGUAUUAUCUCUGGGAUCAGCUGGAGCUAGUUAAUGAAAUUAUAAAAGAUGCUUCUCUCCAAUGAGGACUUUCCAUAGCAUCAUGUUGUAAUGCUGGACAGGGAGGAGAAUGGAAGAAAUGUGAGCACAGCAGUUUGGAAAAGAAAACAAUCCUGACAUGGAAUUUGAUUACUGCUUUGACUGGAGUUGAAUGUCUAAUGUACUGAGAAUUUCCUUGUAAGAGACCCAGUUCUACACUGCAGCAAAUAUAUGCUUGACCCUUUGUAUUUGGGGGUCUAACAACCAUUGAUAAAAAUAUUCAGAGAAAAAACUGCAUCUGUAUUGAACAGGUACAGAACAUCUUCUUUGUCAUUAACAUGACAGUAUAGCAACCCUUUACACGCAUUGUAUAAAGGAGUUGUAUUAGGAGUUAUAACUAAUCUAGAGAUGAUCUAACCCAUUAACCCAUUGUCCCAGUGGUGAAACACCUACGAAAGUUUUAAGUAAACUGCAAAUAUACCACUCAUGAUAACUUUUGUUUUGUUUUGUUUGGUGCUGGGGAUUGAACUCAGGGGCACUUGAUCACUGAGCCACAUCCCCAGCCCUAUUUUGUAUUUUAUUUAAAGACAGGGUCUCACUGGAUUGCUUAGCACCUCACUUUCGCUGAGGCCGGCUUUGAACUCGUGAUCCUCCUGCCUCAGCAUCCAGAGCUGCUAGGAUUACAGUUGUGAGCCACUGUGCCUAACUGGAGCUAAUGAUAACUCUGAAAUAUUUAAAUAUUUAUUAUGUUUGCAGAAUUAAAAACUUGAGUUAAAUCCCAAUUCUGAGAAUAUUUCAAAGAAACUGACAAAGGUUCAUUAAAAUAGGUUGAAAAUCAUAAUCUGGAGCAUAUAAAUGUAUUGUGUUAAUUAAUACUAUUAUUAUUUUAUAAUUAUAUAUUAUAUAUUUAAGUUUCUACAGCUAUUCCACAUUUGGGAUGAUGGGACAAAAUGGAUUAAAGUAUAUAGGAAGAUAUAUGUAGAUUAUAUGCAAAAACGUCACCAUUUUAUAUAAGGGACUUGAGUAUCCAUGGGCUUCACUGUCUGUGGGGGUCCAAGAAGCAACCUCAAGAGGCAAUUCUACUUUUAAUUGUCAAGAUCAAGAGCCCUCUGAUAUUCAAUGACAUCGGAUUCAGGAAAAAGGGUCCAAGCUCUGAUCUUUUUUGUCACCCCUGUGACAAUAGGUAGUCCUGGGAACUAAAGAGACAAACUAAAGAGACUGCUCAUCUGAGGCUGCACACCUUUUGUAAGCUGGGUUCUGGAGACUGUGUUAUUCUCUGCACAAAUGGUCCUGAGUAUGCUUCUGAGGCUUGUGAUUAUUUUCCUUCUUUGAUUCUUUUUCAUGCGGAUGCUUUCCUGUGGCUUGGGAUUUGUAACCUUAGGGUUGAGGGGCAACCAAAGGAUGGCUAUUUUGUGGAUGGAGUGGUCAUGUGGCCUUCCAUGCCCACCUGUGUGUGCCGUCGGGGUACAGGAAGAAUAAGUGUGUAGGGAAUCACACAACCCCACACUGCCGUAAGCAGCCAUAGAACCUUUGAGAGGGAUUCUACAUGCAAACCUGACCCUCUAGAGUGUUAUGAAGGUAUAUUUAUCAAGGUAGGACCACAGAACAAAAUUCAGUGGUUUGCUAGCUUGAUUUAUAAUUUCUAAAUAUAGAGACAUGUGCCACCUGGGCCUUCCUUUGCACUCUUGUCCUGGACCCCGAAUAUGUUUGGAGCAAGCUUGCUGCUCACACUGGAAACAGUAGUCUGGUCCUGUGGAGUUCAGUUAUAGAGAGAAAGAAAAUUGCCUUUAUGCCCACUUGAGUUAUAACUGUAUUUCUAAAACCUGCUACAUAUGCUAGAAUUAUUUUCCAUGAGAUGAUUUCUUUAUUACAAAUGUUAAAAUAUAAUUCUUGGAGCAGUGUUAAGCAAAGAGGGGAAAAAAAACUUAGCAAGCCUGUGUUCUUGUCUGGCUUUUAAAUUUGUGGACUCAGUGAGGGUCAGGCUGUGGGGAAGGGGAAGGAGAGAUGGCCUGGUCCUACAUUGACAUAUAAUGCAAACCCUAAUAUUCUCUAGCUAUUCUGUUUUCUCCUACUAUUUAUGUUCAGAACUGCUUCCUCUUUUCUGGCUUUUGAUGCAAUUACUUUUCUUCUUAUUUAUAUUUUUACCUUCCCUUUUACUUCAUACAAUUCCUCUCUUUGUGUAUCACUUUUGGCAGGCUGUGGAUAAAAUUUCCAGUCAAUCCUUGCAGCCCGGAAGACCCUGGCUUUAUGAAUGUCCUCUCUCCUGCCCUGGCUCACCAAGUUCCACAUCAGGACCUGGGCAGUCUUUGUCUUCCACUGUUGUUCUACCGACAGCAGGGCAAACAGGAGAAAGGUAUGCAGGCAGCCAACAUUCUGGUGCCGCCAGAGUUCUACAGCUGAAGAAGAUCAGAGCUAGAGAUGCCCUCAAAGUCACCUCUGGAUCAGAAACCACCACCUAGAGAAUCCCUCUCCAUCUCACAGCCAGCAUGACACCUUCCCUCCUGGUGACCUGGGACUUUACCCAUUUUGUUUGACUUUAUUGGCACUCCAAGUAACACAAACAUACCUCUUAAGCAUAUUUCUAGAUGAAUCUACUCAAAUCUACUAUAAUAUGUGUUAGGACACCCUCUUAAAAAAAGAAGAAUAAUAAAGAGGAGGAGGAGGAGGAUGAAGAGGAAGAAGACAUUUUGUCUCUGCCUUUUGGCAUUCUGGCCGUUGCUUGGUUACUUCACUGAAGGAGGGAAUGAUGACCUUGGCCAAAUUGUGCCUCCAUGAACGUAGCCUCUACAGAUGCUGCUUCUGGUUCAAAUCAAUAAGCUGAACAGCAAACAAUAAAGACUGAUGAUUUAGUUACAGAGAAGCUACCAAAAGCAUAUCACUUUUCUAAAUUGCUCAUCUCUCUUUGCAUGAAGAGGAGUAUGCGUUACUAUUCUAUGAGUCAUUUUUAGUUCUACUCUUUGUUAGAGCACUGAGACAGGGUGUUGUCUCCUU
rnacentral:lncRNA from 1 species